rnacentral:rRNA from 1 species
UGGGGAAUAUUGGACAAUGGGCGAAAGCCUGAUCCAGCCAUGCCGCGUGUGUGAAGAAGGUCUUCGGAUUGUAAAGCACUUUAAGUUGGGAGGAAGGGUUGUAGAUUAAUACUCUGCAAUUUUGACGUUACCGACACAAUAAGCACCGGCUAACUCUGUGCCAGCAGCCGCGUUAAUACAGAGGGUGCAAGCGUUAAUCGGAAUUAUUGGGCGUAAAGCGCGCGUAGGUGGUUUGUUAAGUUGGAUGUGAAAGCCCCGGGCUCAACCUGGGAACUGCAUUCAAAACUGACAAGCUAGAGUAUGGUAGAGGGUGGUGGAAUUUCCUGUGUAGCGGUGAAAUUCGUAGAUAUAGGAAGGAACACCAGUGGCGAAGGCGACCACCUGGACUGAUACUGACACUGAGGUGCGAAAGCGUGGGGGGCAAACA